rnacentral:tRNA from 1 species
GGGGGUUUAGCUCAGUUGGUAGAGCGGCGCCCUUACAAGGCGUAGGUCGGGAGUUCGAGCCUCUCAACCCCCACCA